rnacentral:rRNA from 1 species
UUAUAGUGGAAGCGGAUGGAGCCGACGUUUCCAGUGCGUAUUCAGCCGUUGGCGGGUGCGAUUUGUGGUUGUGCAGUGCUGCAAAGUCUGUCCUCCACAUUGUUGCACUCGUUGGCGGUGCACUUGCGUACAGAGUGCGCCGAAUCGGCUGGGUCCGUUGUUCGAGGGGCGUUUAGAGGCCUGGCUUGCCAGAAACCUGAGCGCUCGGAGACCAAUUGGGCCUAGUCGUGGAACGGGGUGCUGGCCCACGCUGCCAUUCGGGUUGGUGGUCGUUGUCGUUGCUGGGCACAUGUGUCCUGUAGCUUUGGCGGCCGCCGGCUCGGCUGGUUGCUCAGCCCCCAAUUCGGUGUCCAGUCGGUCACCCAUUUGACCCGUCUUGAAACACGGACCAAGGAGUUUAAGGUGUACGCAAGUCAUUGUGUAAGUGAAGCACAAAGGCGGAAUGAAAGUGGGACACUUGGUGUCUGUAAUGCGAUCCGCGCAAGCGGAGCAGCAUUGACCCAUGACUAGAACUUGUUCUGUUGUGGAGUCCGAGCGUACGCUUUGAGACCCGAAAGAUGGUGAACUAUGCCCGAACAGGACGAAGUCAGAGGAAACUCUGAUGGAAGUCCGAAGCGGUUCUGACGUGCAAAUCGAUCG